UGGGUGAUCUGCCCUGCACUUUGGGAUAAGCCUGGGAAACUGGGUCUAAUACCGAAUAUGACCGCGCACUUCCUGGUGUGUGGUGGAAAGCUUUUGCGGUGUGGGAUGGGCCCGCGGCCUAUCAGCUUGUUGGUGGGGUAAUGGCCUACCAAGGCGACGACGGGUAGCCGGCCUGAGAGGGUGACCGGCCACACUGGGACUGAGAUACGGCCCAGACUCCUACGGGAGGCAGCAGUGGGGAAUAUUGCACAAUGGGCGCAAGCCUGAUGCAGCGACGCCGCGUGAGGGAUGACGGCCUUCGGGUUGUAAACCUCUUUCAAUAGGGACGAAGCGCAAGUGACGGUACCUAUAGAAGAAGGACCGGCCAACUACGUGCCAGCAGCCGCGGUAAUACGUAGGGUCCGAGCGUUGUCCGGAAUUACUGGGCGUAAAGAGCUCGUAGGUGGUUUGUCGCGUUGUUCGUGAAAACUCACAGCUUAACUGUGGGCGUGCGGGCGAUACGGGCAGACUAGAGUACUGCAGGGGAGACUGGAAUUCCUGGUGUAGCGGUGGAAUGCGCAGAUAUCAGGAGGAACACCGGUGGCGAAGGCGGGUCUCUGGGCAGUAACUGACGCUGAGGAGCGAAAGCGUGGGGAGCGAACAGGAUUAGAUACCCUGGUAGUCCACGCCGUAAACGGUGGGUACUAGGUGUGGGUUUCCUUCCUUGGGAUCCGUGCCGUAGCUAACGCAUUAAGUACCCCGCCUGGGGAGUACGGCCGCAAGGCUAAAACUCAAAGAAAUUGACGGGGGCCCGCACAAGCGGCGGAGCAUGUGGAUUAAUUCGAUGCAACGCGAAGAACCUUACCUGGGUUUGACAUGCACAGGACGCCAGUAGAGAUAUUGGUUCCCUUGUGGCCUGUGUGCAGGUGGUGCAUGGCUGUCGUCAGCUCGUGUCGUGAGAUGUUGGGUUAAGUCCCGCAACGAGCGCAACCCUUAUCUUAUGUUGCCAGCGCGUAAUGGCGGG
rnacentral:rRNA from 1 species